AAUGGGGAUGAGGGAAAAAAGUUCUAAUAACAGGAGUAUGUACAAUGAGUAAUUUUGCCCCAUAAUAUUUGUGAUGAACUUAAUAAAUCUGUAUAGCCGAUGGAACUGAAAUUCUCAUUAGGUUAAUAAUAUUAUAAGGUUUGUAAGCAUUUCCAUUGAAUUGACGGUUGCCUUGGGUUACCCGAUUUCUGUUUCCAAUUAUCAGUUGGCCCUUGGACAACAAAGACAAACUUCCAAGCGUAUUUCUAUCAUUAAAACGUGUCGCAUGAAAAUACAUUAAUGGCUUGAAAUUAGGUGGAUCUUUCGUGUGUUAGAUAACGUCAAGACGGAUCCCACAAAUGGAAAGAUAAGCUCAACCAAUUAUGUGACCGCGUACAGAAAAACAUGUGCCAGUUAUAUAUGUAUGUAUGUUUUUCCAAUCUAUACCUUAAAAUUCCUUUGAGGUCGUGAAGCUGACGUCAUCGUCGGUGUUGAACAACACAUUGUACAUAUCGUUCCAACACCCUGGAGUGAACGAAACAAAAUGCGGUUGAGAGCAUAAACUCGACACCAACCAAAAGUUCCCCUAGGA